rnacentral:rRNA from 1 species
AACGAACGCUGGCGGCAGGCUUAACACAUGCAAGUCGAACGGGUGUAGCAAUACAUCAGUGGCAGACGGGUGAGUAACACGUGGGAACCUUCCUAGAGGUACGGAACAACGCAGGGAAACUUGUGCUAAUACCGUAUACGCUCUUGCGAGGAAAGAUUUAUCGCCUUUAGACGGGCCCGCGUAGGAUUAGGUAGUUGGUGGGGUAAUGGCUCACCAAGCCUACGAUCCUUAGCUGAUCUGAGAGGAUGAUCAGCCACACUGGAACUGAGACACGGUCCAGACUCCUACGGGUGGCAG